rnacentral:rRNA from 1 species
CCUACGGGAGGCAGCAGUGAGGAAUAUUGGUCAAUGGCCGUAAGGCUGAACCAGCCAAGUAGCGUGAGGGAAGACUGCCCUAUGGGUUGUAAACCUCUUUUAUGCGGGGAUAAAGUUGUCCACGUGUGGAUGUUUGCAGGUACCGCAUGAAUAAGGACCGGCUAAUUCCGUGCCAGCAGCCGCGGUAAUACGGAAGGUCCGGGCGUUAUCCGGAUUUAUUGGGUUUAAAGGGAGCGUCGGCCGGUCUUUAAGCGUGCCGUGAAAUUUUGUGGCUCAACCCUGAGCGUGCGGCGCGAACUGGAGGCCUUGAGUGGGCGGAAGGCAGGCGGAAUUCGUGGUGUAGCGGUGAAAUGCUUAGAUAUCACGAAGAACCACGAUUGCGAAGGCAGCCUGCCGCAGCGUGACUGACGCUGAAGCUCGAAAGCGCGGGUAUCGAACAGGAUUAGAUACCCGGGUAGUC